rnacentral:rRNA from 1 species
AACGAACGCUGGCGGCAUGCCUAACACAUGCAAGUCGAACGCUCGUAGCAAUACGGGAGUGGCGGACGGGUGAGUAACGCGUGGGAACCUGCCCAGUGGUAGGGAAUAACUGCGGGAAACUGCAGCUAAUACCCUAUGAGCCCGUACGGGGGAAAGAUUUAUCGCCAUUGGAGGGGCCCGCGUCGGAUUAGCUAGUUGGUGGGGUAACGGCCUACCAAGGCAACGAUCCGUAGCUGGUCUGAGAGGAUGAUCAGCCACACUGGGACUGAGAUACGGCCCAGACUCCUACGGGAGGCAGCAGUGGGGAAUAUUGGACAAUGGGGGCAACCCUGAUCCAGCAAUGCCGCGUGAGUGAAGAAGGCCUUAGGGUUGUAAAGCUCUUUCGGCGGGGAAGAUGAUGACGGUACCCGCAGAAGAAGCCCCGGCUAACUCCGUGCCAGCCG